ensembl:lncRNA
CUAGCCAGCCUUCUUUUGCACACGGCUCUGUUGUCUGUUCUGAAUGUUAGAUGUAGCCACGCCCCCUGAUUUGAAUAGAAGAACGUGAAAUGUAAGACGGCAUUAUGAAAUAAAAGUACCAUGAAAUAAUUACAUGUAUUUAAUAUUUAAAUUAACGUGGGUGUGAGGCGUUAUUGAUUAACGUGGGUGUGAGGUGUUAUUGAUUAACGUGGGUGUGAAAUGUUAUUGAUUAACGUGGGUGUGAGGCGUUAUUGAUUAACGUGGGUGUGAGGCGUUAUUGAUUAACGUGGGUGUGAGGCGUUAUUGAUUAACGUGGGUGUGAGGCGUUAUUGAUUAACGUGGGUGUGAGAUGUUAUUGAUUAACGUGGGUGUGAGAUGUUAUUGAUUAACGUGGGUGUGAGGUGUUAUUGAUUAACGUGGGUGUGAGAUGUUAUUGAUUAACAUCGGUGUGAGGCGUUAUUGAUUAACAUCGGUGUGAGGCGUUAUUGAUUAACAUCGGUGUGAGAUGUUAUUGAUUAACGUGGGUGUGAGAUGUUAUUGAUUAACGUGGGUGUGAGAUGUUAUUGAUUAACGUGGGUGUGAGAUGUUAUUGAUUAACAUCGGUGUGAGAUGUUAUUGAUUAACGUGGGUGUGAGAUGUUAUUGAUUAACAUCGGUGUGAGGUGUUAAAAACCUUUAUAGAUGAAUUGUUUGCUGGCGGCUUUGGUGAUUCUCUUUGAGCUCUUUGAUGCUUCCACAGGAAACGAACCCGCCCGCAUGAAUUGCUCCACCCGGUUCAAAAAGUCAAAAGAUGGCAUCUGUGAACAGAAAUGAUUAUUAUUAUUACAGUGGCCAAUCUGAUCUGAAGACAAUGUAUUGAUUAGCCAGCUGUGGGAAGAGCCAAUCACAAUUUCGUUUUUGUUCUCAUUUUAGUGUUCAUGAGAAAAUAGAAGAUUGUUUGCUUACUUUUGUACAUUUCGUAUUUAAAACCAGGAGGCAUUUGUAGAAUUUGUGAUAAUGCUGCUGUUUAUAAGCAUGACAUUUAUUUAGAUUACAUUUGGACAGAAGUUUAGUAAAUAAAAUUGUAUUUCAUCAGAUUAAUUUUUGAUUUUAGUCACUCUGUUAGUGACGUGAUUGGAAUUGAAAGGAAUAAUAAUAAUAAAAAAUUAAAUCGAUUAGUUGAAAAAAAC